rnacentral:rRNA from 1 species
UGACCUUAAAUUAAGUAGAAAUACCUGCUGAACUUAAGUAUAUUAAUAAGCAGAGGAAAAGAAACUAACAGGGAUUGCUCUAGUAACAGCAAGUAAAGCAGCAAUAGCUUAAAUUUAAAAUCUAGCCUCUAGGGCUUAAGUUGUAAUUUACAGAGAAUACUUUUAGCAAGGUGCCUUCUAAGUUCUCUAGAACAAGACGCUACAGAGAGUAAGAGCUCUGUCUAGUUAGAUGCUAAGCCUCUAUAAAGCUUCUUUAAUAAGUUAAGUAGUUUAGGAAUACUGCUCUAAAUAAAAGGUAUAUAUCUUCUAAAGCUAAAUACUAGCUAGAGACUAAUAGCAUAUAAGUAGAGUAAUUAAAAGAUAAAAAGCACUUUAAAAAGAGGGUUAAAUAGUAUGUAAAAUUAUUAAAAGAGAAGCGCUUAUAACUAGACUUAGGCCUAGUAAAUUAUUUAGCGUUCUUGCUAGUGCACUUUGCUAGGCUUAGGCUAGCAUUAGUUUGCCUUAGGGGACAAAGGCUGCAGAAAUAUAGCUCUCUUAGAAGUAUUAUAGCCUGCUGUAUAAUACCCUAGGGCAGACUAAGGUUUAUGCAUCUGCAAGAAUGCUAGCGUAAUAGUUAUUAGCAACCUGUCUUAAAACACAGACUAAGGAGUUGUCUUUAUAUACAAGUGUUUAGGUGUAAAACCUCUAUAUAUAAUAAAAGUAAACGCAGGUAAGAGCUUUAGCGCAUUAUCAACUAAUCCUAAUGUUCUUAGAUAGAUUUAAGUAAGAGCAUAUAGAGCUAGACCUAAAAGAAGGUAAACUAUGCCUAUAUAGAGUAAAGCUAGAGGAAACUCUAGUAAAGGCUUGCAGCAGUUCUAACGUGCAAAUUAAUUGUUAAAUAUAGGCAUAGAGGCAAAAGACUAAUUAAACCUUCUAGUAGCUAGUUUCUGCUAAAGUUUCCCUUAGGAUAGCAGUAUUAAGCUUAGUUUUAUAAGGUAAAGCAAAUAAUUAAGGACUUAGGGGCGCUCUUAUGCCUUUAUUUAUUCUUAAACUUUAAAUAUAUAAGAAGCUCUUAUUACUUAAUUAAACGUGGGCAUUUAAAUGUAUUAACACUAGUAAGCUAUUUUUAGUAAGCAGAACUAGCAAUAUAGAAUAAACUAAACGUAAGGUUAAAGUGCUAGAGUAAAUACUUAUUAGACACUACAAAAGGUAUUAGUACAUCUUAACAGCAGAACGGUAGCUAUAGAAGUUAGAAUCUGCUAAGAACUAUAUAACAACUUACCUGCUAAAUAUACUAGCCCUAAAAAUAAAUAGCGCUUAAGCGUCUUACUUAUACCUUGCUCUUAGGGUAGAAAUAAAGCUCUAAGAAGUAGGCAGACGUAGAGGUUAGUAACAAAGCCUAGAGCGUAAGCCUAGGUUGAACGGCCUCUAGUAUAGAUCUUAGUAGUAGUAGCAAAUACUUUAAUAAGAACUUAAAGAACUAAAGUAGGGAAAGGUUCUAUAUAAACAGCAGUUAAAUAUAAGUUAGUCGAUCCUAAGCUAUAGAGAAGUUCUAUUUUAAAGGCGCACUUAUGCGCUAUCUAGCGAAAGAGAAGCUAGUUAAUAUUCUAGCACCUAGAUGUAGGUUUUGCGCGGCAACGCAACUAAACGCAGAGACAACAGCAGGGGCUUUAAGCAGAGUUCUCUUUUCUUCUUAACAGCCUAUUACCCUAAAAUCAGUUUGUCUAGAGCUAGGGUUUAAUAGCUAGAAGAGCCUAGCACUUCUGCUGAGUUUAGUGCGCUCUUAACGUCUCUUGAAAAUCUGCAGAAGAGAAUAAUUCUUACGCUAGGUUGUACUUAUAACUGCAGUAAGUCUCUAAGGUAAACAGCCUCUAGUUAAUAGAACAAUAUAGAUAAGGGAAUUCAGCAAAAUAAAUCUAUAACUUUAGGAUAAAAAUUAGCUCCAAGGGUUAGAUGCAUUAGGCCUUAGGAGAACGCCUUAGGAGCAGGCAGCUACUAGCUAGGCAACUAGCCGGCAGCAGCUAGUAUCUAAGUGCUAAUGCUCUUAGCAGGCUUUAGCUGUUUAGCGCACGCUUAACAACUAACUUAGAACUAGUAUAGAUAGGAGGAAUCUAACUAUCUAAUUAAAAUAUAGCAUUAUAAUAGCUAGAAAGUAGUGUUAAUGCAAUAUAAUUUCUGCUUAGUGCUCUAAAUAUUAAAGUAAAGUAAUUUAACUAAGCGCAGGUAAACAGCAGGAGUAACUAUAACUCUCUUAAGGUAGCUAAAUGCCUUAUUAUCUAAUUAGUAAUGUAUAUAAAUAGAUUAACAAGAUUCCUACUAUCUCUAUCUACUAUCUAGCGAAACUACAGCUAAGGGAAUAGGCUUAGCAGAAUUAGCAGGGAAAGAAGACUCUAUUAAGCUUAACUCUAGUUUAACAUUAUAAAAAGAUAUAGAAGGUAUAGAAUAGGUAGGAGCUUUAGCGCUAGUAAAAUACUACUACUUCUAUUGUUUUUUUACUUAUUUAAUAAAGUAGAGCUAGAUUUUCAUUUAACUUCUAGUCUUAAGGUUCUUUGCAGGCUAACCUAGGUUAAAGACAUUAUUAGGUAGGGAGUUUAGCUAGAGCAGUAUAUUUAUUAAACUAUAACGCAGGUGUUCUAAGGGGGGCUUAUAGAGAACAGAAAUCUCUAGUAGAAUAAAAGAGUAAAAGUCCUCUUAAUUUUAAUUUUUAGUGUAAAUAUAAACUAUAAAAGUAUAGCCUAUUAAUUCUUUAGUCUCUUAAUAUUUAAGGCUAGAGGUGCUAGAAAAGUUACUAUAGAGAUAAACUAUACUUAUACCUAUAGCAGUCUCUAUAUACAGCAGUAGUAGUAGCACUUAAGCUUUAAUAAUGUUUAAGGUUAAGGUGUUAAGAUUACUGCUAAGAGGUAGUUACUAGUAAGUAAAAUGUCCUAGGCUAAGUUUUAUUAACCUUAGUUUAGUCUUAUCUCUUCUAUAUAGCACUAGGAGGGAAUAAAGGCAAUACACCUAGAUGUAGGGAACUCUUGCAAAGCGUUUAGUACUACUUAGCAGGAUAACGCUCUGCUAGUUCUAAUAAUAGCAGGUAUAGUAAAAAUUUAGGCAAUAGAGACAAUCUGCAGCUAAGUUAGCUGCUCUAUAUGCUUAGAGAUGCUAGCUAGUUUAACGCUUGCUAAGGUGUAGAUUACUAGGGGGGGGGAUAUAAAGCGCUAAGAAAGAACCCCCCCUAGCAGCUUAAGGUACAGGCUACGCCUACCUAAGAGGGUAAUACUACCUACCGGCAGUGCCUGCUGAGAAGUAGUAUGCGUCUCUAGUUUUAAGCUAGAGCAAAGUAUUAUAGAACUAGCUUAUAGCAGCUAAGCGUUUAUAGCAAUAUUGCUUUUUAAUUCUUUAAUGUUAGCUCUUUCUAUUAUACUAAAGCAGAAUUUAGUAAGCAUUAAAUUAUUUACCUACUAAAAUUUAUUUCUUAUUAGUAGGGAUAGUUAGGUCUUAGAGAGAGGAGGGGCUAAGAUUAUACUAGCUAGUUAAAAUAGUAUAUUGCUAUAGGUGCUAUCUAGCAAUACAACUUAGAUUAGGGAAGGCUAAGAGCCAAGAGGUCUAUGCUAAUCCUAAGAGGAGCUCUAUAAGAGCAAUCUUAUAAUAGCCUCUAUAGAGCGCAGAAAGGUAUAGGCAACUCUUAAAUAUUUAAGGUUGCUUAAGAGACAUACUAAGCCUACAGGAAACUAUACUAUAUGUAAAGGACUUACAGUCUAAAUUAUAUAGAAGAGCGAUUAAGUAGAGAGGGGAAAUACUCUCUAUAAGCUUAGGUAUAAUUAUAUAUAUAGAGGAUAAAUAAGUUAAUGCUAGAGCUAGAGUUAAGUUAUAAUAGCAUUUAACUAUUAAGUAUUGUAAUUACUCUAAAUAGAGAAUGUAAGCUAGGUUUAGACUGUUAUAAGAUAGGUUAGUUUUACUCUACUAAUAACCUUACUACAAUAGUAAUUUAGCUUAGUAUAAGAGGAACUGCUAAUUUAGAUAAUUAGUUUUUACAGCUGUCUAACUAAGUAGUGCUAUAAAGCUACUAUCUGCUAAAUAAUAGCUAAACGCCUCUAAGUUAGAAUCUACACUAAAAUGCAGUAAUACUGCCUAUAUAUAUAAAUAGACAAGAAUAGGCCUUAGCUUAGCGUUUUAGCAGGCGAUUUAUCUAUAGCAUAGAAAGUAUAAUUUAUAGUAAUUUGUAUAUUAUAAUUUUAAUAUAAGUAGAGUUAAAUUCUUUGCAGAUAACUUAGCUGUGCAAAACAGUUCUAUAAGCAGUAGAGUAGCCUUAUUGUUACAAUCUGCUGAGGGUAAGCUGUUCUUCGCCUUAAUUUCC